UGUAGCAUGCGUUUCCAAUAAGGCAACUAUUGCGGGAAGAUGUCGAAUAAUCAGAUCAAAGACCACAACCCGUUUCGUUCUAUCACCCAGUCCACGCACAUUCCAUAUCAUAACUCUAUUAUUCGUCAUCAUGAUUUAUGAGAGGAGG